rnacentral:rRNA from 1 species
GGGGGGGGGGGGGGGGGGGGGGGGGGGGGGGGGGGGGGGGGGGGGGGGGGGGGGAGCGUGGUUGUGGGGGGGGUGGGGGGGGGAGGGGGGAGGGAGGCAGCGGGAGCUACUGUGUGGGGGGGGGUGGCGUAGGGGGACGUGCGCUAAGACCGGAUGGGGACUGCGGGGGAGGGCGAGUGAUCUUCUGACUGUGCGCGAGUGACCGAGCUGAAGUCGGAGUAGUUAGUUGGUGGGGGAAAGUCACACCAAGGCGACGAUGCGGAGCUGGUCUGAGAGGAUGAUCAGCCACACUGGAAAUGAGACACGGUCCAUACUCCUACGGGAGGCAGCAGUGGGGAAUAUUGGACAAUGGGCGCAAGCAUGAUCCAGCCAUACCGCGUGGGUGAAGAAGGCAUUCGGGUUGUAAAGCCCUUUUGUUGGGAAAGAAAAGCAGCAGGUUAAUACCCCGCUGUUCUGACGGUACCCAAAGAAUAAGCACCGGCUAACUUCGUG